rnacentral:rRNA from 1 species
AGGAAAGCAGGGGAUCGCAAGACCUUGCGCUUUUGGAGCGGCCGAUGUCUGAUUAGCUAGUUGGUGAGGUAAAGGCUUACCAAGGCUUCGAUCAGUAGCUGGUCUGAGAGGACGACCAGCCACACUGGGACUGAGACACGGCCCAGACUCCUACGGGAGGCAGCAGUGGGGAAUUUUGGACAAUGGGGGCAACCCUGAUCCAGCCAUGCCGCGUGAGUGAAGAAGGCCUUCGGGUUGUAAAGCUCUUUCAGCCGGAACGAAAAGGUUACGGUUAAUACCCGUGACUAAUGACGGUACCGGAAGAAGAAGCACCGGCUAACUACGUGCCAGCAGCCGCGGUAAUACGUAGGGUGCGAGCGUUAAUCGGAAUUACUGGGCGUAAAGCGUGCGCAGGCGGUUUUGUAAGUCAGAUGUGACAUCCCCGGGCUUAACCUGCGAACUGCGUCUGAACCUACCAGGCU